rnacentral:rRNA from 1 species
ACUCAAAGGAAUUGACGGGGGCCCGCACAAGCGGUGGAUGAUGUGGAUUAAUUCGAUGCAACGCGAAAAACCUUACCUACCCUUGACAUGCCAGGAAGUCCGUGGAGACAUGGAUGUGCUCGAAAGAGAACCUGGACACAGGUGCUGCAUGGCUGUCGUCAGCUCGUGUCGUGAGAUGUUGGGUUAAGUCCCGCAACGAGCGCAACCCUUGCCAUUAGUUGCUACAUUUAGUUGGGCACUCUAAUGGGACUGCCGGUGACAAACCGGAGGAAGGUGGGGAUGACGUCAAGUCCUCAUGGCCCUUAUGGGUAGGGCUUCACACGUCAUACAAUGGCGCGUACAGAGGGUUGCCAACCCGCGAGGGGGAGCCAAUCCCAGAAAGCGCGUCGUAGUCCGGAUUGUAGUCUGCAACUCGACUACAUGAAGUCGGAAUCGCUAGUAAUCGCGGAUCAGCAUGUCGCGGUGAAUACGUUCCCGGGCCUUGUACACACCGCCCGU